rnacentral:rRNA from 1 species
AACGAACGCUGGCGGCAUGCCUAACACAUGCAAGUCGAACGAGACCUUCGGGUCCAGUUGCGCACGGGUGCGUAACGCGUGGGAACCUGCCCUUAGGUUCGGAAUACCUCCCCGAAAGGGGUGCUAAUACCGGAUAAUGUCUUCGGACCAAAGAUUUAUCGCCUUUGGAUGGGCCCGCGUUGGAUUAGCUAGUUGGUAGGGUAAAAGCCUACCAAGGCGACGAUCCAUAGCUGGUCUGAGAGGAUGAUCAGCCACACUGGGACUAAGACACGGCCCAGACUCCUACGGGAGGCAGCAGUGGGGAAUAUUGGACAAUGGGCGAAAGCCUGAUCCAGCAAUGCCGCGUGAGUGAUGAAGGCCUUAGGGUUGUAAAGCUCUUUUACCCGGGAUGAUAAUGACAGUACCGGGAGAAUAAGCUCCGGCUAACUCCGUG